rnacentral:rRNA from 1 species
GACGUAGGGGGCAAGCGUUAUUCGGAAUUAUUGGGCGUAAAGCGCUCGUAGGCGGGACUGGAAGUCCGUGUUGAAAGACCUCGGCUCAACUGAGGGACCGGCUCGGAUACUCUAGUUCUUGAGGCAAUCAGAGGGUGAUGGAAUUCCCGGUGUAGCGGUGAAAUGCGCAGAUAUCAGGAGGAACACCGGUGGCGAAGGCGGUUCUCUGGGCAUUACCUGACGCUGAGGAGCGAAAGUGUGGGGAGCGAACAGG